rnacentral:rRNA from 1 species
GACGAACGCUGGCGGCGUGCCUAAUACAUGCAAGUAGAACGCUGAAGAGAGGAGCUUGCUCUUCUUGGAUGAGUUGCGAACGGGUGAGUAACGCGUAGGUAACCUGCCUGGUAGCGGGGGAUAACUAUUGGAAACGAUAGCUAAUACCGCAUAAAAUUGAUUAUUGCAUGAUAAUUAAUUGAAAGAUGCAACUGCAUCACUACCAGAUGGACCUGCGUUGUAUUAGCUAGUUGGUGAGGUAACGGCUCACCAAGGCGACGAUACAUAGCCGACCUGAGAGGGUGAUCGGCCACACUGGGACUGAGACACGGCCCAGACUCCUACGGGAGGCAGCAGUAGGGAAUCUUCGGCAAUGGGGGGAACCCUGACCGAGCAACGCCGCGUGAGUGAAGAAGGUUUUCGGAUCGUAAAGCUCUGUUGUAAGAGAAGAACGGGUGUGAGAGUGGAAAGUUCACACUGUGAUGGUAUCUUACCAGAAAGGGACGGCUAACUACGUG